rnacentral:rRNA from 1 species
GUAGGUGGCAAGCGUUGUCCGGAAUUAUUGGGCGUAAAGCGCGCGCAGGCGGUCCUCUAAGUCUGAUGUGAAGGCCCACGGCUCAACCGUGGAGGGUCAUUGGAAACUGGGGGACUUGAGUACAGAAGAGGAAAGCGGAAUUCCAAGUGUAGCGGUGAAAUGCGUAGAGAUUUGGAGGAACACCAGUGGCGAAGGCGGCUUUCUGGUCUGUAACUGACGCUGAGGCGCGAAAGCGUGGGGAGCAAACAGGGAUUAGAUACCCUGGUAGUCCACGCCGUAAACGAUGAGUGCUAAGUGUUAGGGGGUUUCCCGCCCCUUAGUGCUGCAGCUAACGCAUUAAGCACUCCGCCUGGGGAGUACGGCCGCAAGGCUG